rnacentral:lncRNA from 1 species
AUGUCUCAAAUGAAGAAAUGCUGUGGAAUCCUUUCGGUGACGUGCAGCUUCUGCGGAAAAAUACAACAUCUGGAGGAGCAGCCCACCAAUCGGAAACAGGCAGAAACUCAGGGGAGUCCAUGGUAUAUCUUGGUAAACAUGGUCCAGGAAUGUGGUAAUACUGUGUUUCCUGGACAUUUCUUUAAUACAGAAUCAUCAUCAUCAUCAUCAUCAUCAUCAUUAUUAUUAUUAUUAUUAAGCUAAAUGUGUUCAAACCUCCAAAAUGUAUGUUGCUGUUUCAUUAAACAAUUAAAGCCUGUUUGUAUUUUUAUAACAUAACUUCACUUUAACAAGUUUUUAAAAAGAGGGAGCAACAGCAAGCAACAAGUUCUUACAUGCCUUUUGCAACAAUUGGUAACGUACAAUUUUUUUUGUGUAAAUCAAGAGAAUAUGAAAUACAGC